rnacentral:rRNA from 1 species
CUAUGCGCCUUGCCAGCCCGCUCAGGUGUGCCAGCCGCCGCGGUAAUACAGAGGUCUCAAGCGUUGUUCGGAAUCACUGGGCGUAAAGCGUGCGUAGGCGGUUUCGUAAGUCGUGUGUGAAAGGCGGGGCUCAACCCCCGGACUGCACAUGAUACUGCGAGACUAGAGUAAUGGAGGGGAACCGGAAUUCUCGGUGUAGCAGUGAAAUGCGUAGAUAUCGAGAGGAACACUCGUGGCGAAGGCGGGUUCCUGGACAUUAACUGACGCUGAGGCACGAAGGCCAGGGAGCGAAAGGG